AUUGAACGCUGGCGGCAGGCUUAACACAUGCAAGUCGAGCGGGGUGAUGGUGCUUGCACUAUCACUUAGCGGCGGACGGGUGAGUAAUGCUUAGGAAUCUGCCUAUUAGUGGGGGACAACAUCUCGAAAGGGAUGCUAAUACCGCAUACGUCCUACGGGAGAAAGCAGGGGAUCACUUGUGACCUUGCGCUAAUAGAUGAGCCUAAGUCGGAUUAGCUAGUUGGUGGGGUAAAGGCCUACCAAGGCGACGAUCUGUAGCGGGUCUGAGAGGAGGCGCCGCAAACCGGGGACAGAGAAACGGCCAAGACUCCCACGGGAGGAGGCAGUGGGGAAUAUGGGACAAUGGGGGGAACCCUGACCCAGCCAUGCGGCGUGGGGGAAGAAGGCCUUAUGGUUGCAAAGCACUUUAAGCGAGGAGGAGGCUCUUUUGGUUAAUACCCAAGAUGAGUGGACGUUACUCGAAAAAUAAGCCCCGGCUAACUCUGGGCCACCCCCCGCCGUAA
rnacentral:rRNA from 1 species